GACGAACGCUGGCGGCGUGCUUAACACAUGCAAGUCGAACGGAAAGGCCCUGCUUUUGUGGGGUGCUCGAGUGGCGAACGGGUGAGUAUCCCGUGAGUAACCUGCCCUUGACUUUGGGAUAACUUCAGGAAACUGGGGCUAAUACCGGAUAGGACCUCCUGCUGCAUGGUGUGGGUUGGAACGUUUCGGCGGUUGGGGAUGGACUCGCGGCUUAUCAGCUUGUGGGUGGGGUAGUGGCUUACCAAGGCUUUGACGGGUAGCCGGCCUGAGAGGGUGACCGGCCACAUUGGGACUGAGAUACGGCCCAGACUCCAACGGGAGGCAGCAGUGGGGAAUAUUGCGUAAUGGGCGGAAGCCUGAUGCAGCAACGCCGCGUGCGGGAUGACGGCCUUCGGGUUGUAGACCGCUAUCGCCUGGGACGAAGCGUGAGUGACGGUAAUGGGUAAAGAAGCACCGGCUAACUACGUG
rnacentral:rRNA from 1 species